rnacentral:sRNA from 1 species
UAUUUCUGUUAUCCGCAGACAGCAGGUGCCGUAAGGCGUAAAGAGAAAAUGCCUGCCGAGGAAAUAUCUUUUGCAUAAUUUUAAUUAUGUACUUUAAAGGUUUUCCGGUGCGGACGGAAAACCUUUUUAUCUG